AUUGAACGCUGGCGGCAUGCUUUACACAUGCAAGUCGAACGGUAACAGGCCGCAAGGUGCUGACGAGUGGCGAACGGGUGCGUAAUGUAUCGGAACGUGCCCAGUCGUGGGGGAUAACUACUCGAAAGAGUAGCUAAUACCGCAUACGGUCUAUGGAUGAAAGCGGGGGACCGUAAGGCCUCGCGCGAUUGGAGCGGCCGAUGUCAGAUUAGGUAGUUGGUGGGGUAAAGGCUCACCAAGCCAACGAUCUGUAGCUGGUCUGAGAGGACGACCAGCCACACUGGGACUGAGACACGGCCCAGACUCCUACGGGAGGCAGCAGUGGGGAAUUUUGGACAAUGGGCGCAAGCCUGAUCCAGCAAUGCCGCGUGCAGGAAGAAGGCCUUCGGGUUGUAAACUGCUUUUGUACGGAACGAAACGGCUCUGGUUAAUACCCGGGGCUAAUGACGGUACCGUAAGAAUAAGCACCGGCUAACUACGUG
rnacentral:rRNA from 1 species